rnacentral:rRNA from 1 species
GAGUCCCUACGGGGGGCAGCAGUGGGGAAUAUCGGGCAAUGGGCGCAAGCCUGACCCAGCAACGCCGCGUGAAGGAAGAAGGCUUUCGGGUUGUAAACUUCUUUUCUGAGGGACGAAGAAAGUGACGGUACCUCAGGAAUAAGCCACGGCUAACUACGUGCCAGCAGCCGCGGUAAUACGUAGGUGGCAAGCGUUAUCCGGAAUGAUUGGGCGUAAAGGGUGCGUAGGCGGCCUGCUAAGUCUGGAGUGAAAGGUACCGGCUCAACCGGUACAGGCUCUGGAAACUGGCGGGCUAGAGAGCAGGG